GCAGUUCUGAAUUGCACAUGUGUAAUUGAUUACAAAUCAUACAAAUUAUUACGGUCAUAUAACGCUUUUUUUUUUUUUACAGAAACAGAAGGUAAACUUGAAGAAACUCAUAAGCACCUCAAAAACAGAAAAUGUAGGAGGGACAGGAGAGCUGGAAGGAGGAACUGCCCGCAUGUCUCCUGUAGGAUCGGCCUCUGGCUCUCAGGAAGUGAACUUGAGUCUGGAGUCGCCGGACCCCGUGAGCAGAGCAACUCAGCAGUACCUGGAGGUGCUGAAGAAGAACUACAUGAUCUGACCCACGGUCAGUCCAAACACUGUAAACACAAUCAACUCCAGCACCUCAUCACUGACCCACAGACACACUCAGCCACCCAAAAAACCUACAGAUUGAGAAAACUAGAGUGUUUACUAAAGCUAAAGCAGUUAUGGUGCCUUCUUAUGGACACUGAAGAAAUAGUUCAUCCAAAAAUAAAAAAAAUUGCUGGCCAACUAAAAAUGAGUUUAUUUCUUCAUGGGAACAUAUUUGGAGAAAUGUAGCAUUACAUUACUUGCUCACCAAUGGAUCCUCUACAGUGAAUGGGUGCCGUGAGAAUGAGAGUCCAAACAGCUGAUAAAAACAUCACAGUAACCCACACCACUCCAGUUCAUCAGUUAACGUCUUCUGGAUUAUAUGUUUUUAUCAGCUGUUGGGACGCUCGUUCUGACGGCACCCAUUCACUACAGAGGAUUCAUUAGUGAGCAAGUGAUGGAAUGCUAAAUACAUCUUUCAUGAUUUAAAUGGAGUAUAUUUUAAUUUGAAAAUUAAAUUUUCAUUUUGGAUGAACUAUUCUAAGUCUAUCUGAACAUGUUCUUUAGAGUUAGGGCUCAUUUAACGAAGAAUAAUAUAUUCUUACUUAUAAAAUCCUGGGCACCAGACUGAUUCCUGCUGGUCAGGAACCAACGUCGCCAUUUUAUUUAUUUUAUUUAUUUUAUUUAUUUUGGUCAAAAUGAGUGAAAAAAACUCUGUAGAGACUGAAGUGAUGCUGCCUGUCUGGACUUGUGUUAUUAGUCCAGACCACCAAAAGGGCCAAAGUUUCAACACUACAAUCAGUUUGUGAUCUUUAAUCGAGUGUGACAAUGCUCUUUUGUGCCUCAGGAGCAAGGGAACUGUGUGUUUAUGUCCUUCUGUUGUUGUCUAAGCCAUACGAGCGUCAUUGAGGUUUGAAGGUACACGUGAACUGCAGCUUUCAGUGUUGUCUUUUGUUUCUAUCAUAUGUGGGAUUUUAGUUGAUUAUGUAUAUAUAUUUUGACUGUUUUUGUGGUUGAGGCAUAUUAAAAAAAAGUGUGACAUUUGCACCGUUAAUAUUAUUGCCAAGUAAUGACAAUGGUACAUUCUGUUAUUGUGCAAUAUAUACACAACUUAUUUUAAUUUCAAAUAACCAAACACUCAUUUGGAGAUAAUAGUAAUUUUUUUUAAAUUAAUGCGAUACUUGAAUGAGACAAAACUAGAUAAGAGUAUGUGACAGUGUCACCGCUUCGCUGUGCUCAGGAUCAGUAUUUUUGUGUGUAUGAUUGGAUCUCACCACGUCAUAUUUUAGAUGUUGCUUAAAUUAUAUUUAACAUUUUUUGCAUGAUAUGUUCUUAACUGUUGAGCACAUUUCGCCCCCCAAAUUCACAUUACUGUAAUUAAAGUGUGUGUGUGUGUGUGUAUAUAUAUAUAUAUAUAUAUAUAUAUAUAUAUAUAUAUAUACACGCAUACUUGUUUAUAAAAAUAUAUAUAGAAACAAAUAUAUAAAUAACAUUAAAUUUGCUUUAUUAUAAAUUGUACAAAAAAUGCUUACGCUUAAUUUGUUAAAUGUCAAUAAAACAACUGUUUUUAUAACCAAAUUCUCGUUGCUGGCAUUUUUUAUUAAUUAAAAUACAAAUUAAAUUCAGUAGAACAGACGCUACUAUGCAAACACGUUUUAAAUAUAUAUAUAUUGUGUGUGUGUUUUGUUGUGGUGAAAUAAGACAGUUGCGUGUUUUUAAUCAUUUUUAUCAGAUUCAUCUGUAUGUUUUAGUUUUUCUCAAUUGAAAUCAGUCUCUUUCAGUAUUGUUUUUGUCUCAAGAGGAUUCAGAUGUUUAAAAGCUAUAAAAUGAACAUGGGCCCUACUGUUGUGUUUGUGAUGGUCUCAGACCAGUUUCAUAAUGAAUACAAAAAGCAGCCUUUAUUUAUCUAAUAUACAAAAUGCAACAGCACAAAUAAACACUGAGCUCUAUGAUGUCCAGCUUUCUUCUGAAUCCUUCGGUCAGUGAUGUGUCUCAGAGGAUGGAUACUGGACUAAAGAUCACAGUUGUGAGGUGGAGCGGUUAUCGUUCAUCUUC
ensembl:lncRNA